AUCUGUGCCUGAAAGUUAAGGUACACUUUGAUAGGGUGUUAUAUAGGGGUUCAA
rnacentral:tRNA from 1 species